rnacentral:rRNA from 1 species
UACGGAGGGUGCAAGCGUUAUCCGGAUUCACUGGGUUUAAAGGGUGCGUAGGUGGGCAGGUAAGUCAGUGGUGAAAUCUCUGGGCUUAACCCAGAAACUGCCGUUGAUACUAUCUGUCUUGAAUAUAGUGGAGGUGAGCGGAAUAUGUCAUGUAGCGGUGAAAUGCGUAGAGAUCGGAAAGAACACCAACGGCGAAAGCACUCUGCUGGGCCGACACUGACACUGAGAGACGAAAGCUAGGGGAGCGAAUGGG